AUUGAACGCUGGCGGCAGGCCUAACACAUGCAAGUCGAGCGAGCGGCGGACGGGUGAGUAAUGUAUUGGGAUCUGCCUGAUAUAGGGGGCUAACUACUGUAACCGGUGGCUAAUACCGCCUACUACCUGAUGGGCCCAUAUGGGAUUAGCUAGUAGGUGGGGUAAAGGCUCACCUAGGCGACGAUCUCUAGCUGGUCUGAGAGGAUGAUCAGCCACACUGGGACUGAGACACGGCCCAGACUCCUACGGGAGGCAGCAGUAGGGAAUAUUGCGCAAUGGACGAAAGCCUGAUGGAGCCAUGCCGCGUGAAUGAAGAAGGCCUUAGGUUUGUAAAGUACUUUUAGCGGGGAGGCGUUACCCGCAGAGGAAGCAACGGCUAACUACGUGCCAGCAGCCGCGGUAAUUC
rnacentral:rRNA from 1 species